UUUGCUUCAAACUUGUCCCUGCUUAUCUUACGGGUUCACUGUUAAUGGUCCCCGGGGACACCAGAAAGAUUGGAGAAUGGCUAUGGAUGGAGGAGGCCAAGAGGAAGUUUUAGAGAGAGGCAAUGAUGACCCGGACCUCAAACCACUAAAACCAUUUGUGAGAAGAAGAGGGACAGCCCAACUGGUGAGAAGCCACUCAACAUGGGAAGGUCACCCUUUCAUAGCGUCCAACUUGCAAGAGACUCUAGGACACAAUCCUUAAGGACCAUCGAGCCCCCACUCAGCAAGCACAGACAUAAAGCAGAAACUCGAGCCGGCUUUCAUUCAAGCGGAAGGGCACCCCAACAUCGCGUUAUUGACAGGAGUUCUGAAAACCCUGACAGCUGCAGAAAUUGUGCUGUUGAAGCCCAAUUCCCCGGAGUUGGGAAUAAUA